AAUAUGUUAUUAAUGUGCUCAAUGGCAGACAAUUAAACUGUUUGAUAGAGCUGCAACUAGUGAUGUAAGUUGUCAAUCUUAUACUGUUAACAUUAAGAGUACUCUUAACUACUAAACUAUUAUUUACAUUAUCUUAACUAGUUAAUUACAUUUAUUUAGGUGCAAGAAACUAUACAAAAAAAAAUAUAUGCCAAAAGGUCAAAAUUAUUUUACAACUAACGGCUAUUUUGCAAUUUUACCUACUGAGGAAAUUAUAGGACAAAAACUGAUAAUGACUAAAUUAUUAUCAUAUUAAGCCAUUGAGUUAAAAAUUUAUAUUGAUGUUGUAAUGAUCCAUCAAAUAUUUUACGAGGCAAUUAAACACAAACCAUAAGAUUAUGUAGAUCCAAAAUUACAGGAUAGUAAAGGUAGGCUAUUGAGUCCGGGAUUCAGUGCAUUAGUACAUAAAAAUUAUUAAAUUAUUACAUAUAGAGAGGAGCGUGACAAAAUAAUGACUAAUAAUAACAUAAAUAUGUCGUUUUACGGUACAGAGGUUUUGAAUAAAAUGAUUUCUAAUUUUAAUCUUUGUAUAAAACAAAUUGACAAUUAUCAGAAUCAUAUCCAACCAUUUGAUGUCAACCUGAUAGUGUGUACACACAACAUUAUCUGACAUACAAUAAGUAUAAUAUUGGAAAAAAAUUAAUUGGCAAUUCGAGUUGACUUGAUGUCAAACAUUAAUAAAGAAAAAGUGAUAUAUGGCUGCUUGGAAAAUAAAUAGAAUGGUACAGAUACAAUGAAUUAAAA